rnacentral:rRNA from 1 species
CAGUAGCCACGGUAAUACGGAGGGCGCGAGCGUUACCCGGAUUUACUGGGCGUAAAGGGCGUGUAGGCGGCCUGGGGCGUCCCAUGUGAAAGGCCACGGCUCAACCGUGGAGGAGCGUGGGAUACGCUCAGGCUAGAGGGUGGGAGAGGGUGGUGGAAUUCCCGGAGUAGCGGUGAAAUGCGCAGAUACCGGGAGGAACGCCGAUGGCGAAGGCAGCCACCUGGUCCACUUCUGACGCUGAGGCGCGAAAGCGUGGGGAGCAAACCGGAUUAGAUACCCCGGUAGUCCCUGUCUCUUAUAC